CAAGGUAUAGCUUAAUAUAAAGCACCUGGCUUACACCCAGAGAAUCUAAUACCACUUGAUUACCUUGA
rnacentral:tRNA from 1 species